GUUAAAGUACAAGCGCCUGAAGAUGAGCCUGCGGUCCAUUAGCUAGUUGGUAGAGUAACAGCCUACCAAGGCAACGAUGGAUAGCUGGUCUGAGAGGAUGAUCAGCCACACUGGAACUGAGACACGGUCCAGACUCCUACGGGAGGCAGCAGUAAGGAAUAUUGCUCAAUGGCCGAAAGGCUGAAGCAGCAACGCCGCGUGAAGGAUGAAUGGCCUUGGCCUGUAAACUUCUGUAAAAGGGAAAAACAAUCAGGCAUGUCCUGAUUUGAUUGUACCUUUGAAGUAAGCCCCGGCUAACUACGUG
rnacentral:rRNA from 1 species